rnacentral:rRNA from 1 species
UGCAGAAUCCCGUGAACCAUCGAGUCUUUGAACGCAAGUUGCGCCCGAAGCCAUCAGGCCAAGGGCACGUCUGCCUGGGCGUCACGC